rnacentral:lncRNA from 1 species
AGCUACGCCACACUGUUUGUGGUGACUCGGGAGACGAGAAGCAGCUCGGUGCUGUGUUCCUGUGAGAGUGUCGCCGACACUAGGGAGACAGGUAAAUCUCUUGGUGCUGAAAUCAGAUCGGAGAGGAGGAUCCGCUCCAGAUGCAACUUGCCAGCCUCCGGCUUCUUUCUCCGAGGGAGAACACUGGGGAGCAUGGCAGUACUGAUGAUUGUGUUGAAGUUGAACAUAAAUACAUCUGAAAGAGUGUACAAGAUGGUGAAGUUUCUCACAUGCGUGUGAGAUUAGCAUAAGUAUGACAUCGUCAUAUGCAUAUGACAUGAAGCAAUAAACACAGCGUGUGGGCCUCUGAAUGCUCAAUAAAUGAAAUUUUCAAUCAG